rnacentral:snRNA from 1 species
GGAUGUGAGGAUGGUCUGGCUAUGAUAUCUGUCACCCCACUGAUCACCAGGGUUGAUUCAGCAGAUCUGGCUAUCUAGGGGGUAUUUCCUUCCUUCCUUCCUCACCACUCCAUGUGUGUCCCUCCCAAAGCCGCUCCCUCAGUCAGAGGACGACCUUCCCUGAUAGAGAAGGAUGGUUCUUUGGACAAGGAUAUUUGAGUAACGGCGCUCUCCUGCUAAAAUCUCCAAAUAAGUUCUUAAGUCCAUCUGUAGGAGAAUGUAGGGUGGUCAAGCUUCCAAGACUCCAGACACAUCCAAAUGAGGCUCUGUAUGUGGCAGUCUGCCUCUCUUU